rnacentral:pre_miRNA from 1 species
CUUGAGGUAAAAAGUGGCUAGCCAGCUUGGGAAAAAAGAGAUCAACCCUUGGGAUAAAAUUAAGUUUUCUUCUUAUUACCCCAAAAACUUUUUACCGUGGGUAAAAAGACUCUUCUUGGGGUAUAAAAAGAAUAAAAUUUAGAUUUAGCCUAAGGGUUGAUGAUGUCUUUUCCCCCAAGAAGGUUGGUCACUAUUUACCCCAUG